CUUCCUCCCGGAGCCCUACAAGGCGCUUCCUCCCUGCCAGAGGCCCAUACAAGGCGCUUCCUUCCCGGCGCGUCUGGCAGGCGGCCCGCGGGCGGCUGCGGGCUGGGAGCCCGGGCUCGGAGUCCGCCCGCACCCGGGAGCCCGCGGCCAGGGGGAGCCCGCUGCCAAGGAGGGGGCGGCCGGCGGGAGGGGCCGGGAGAGCGCGGCCCGGCCGGGUCGCCGCCGGGCCCGGCGCAGGGAAACGCGCACAGGGCGGCUUCGAGUCCGUUGGCAGGCGCAGUACCUUCCUCCACACCCCGGAGGUCGGAGGCGCCCUCCGCUCCCCACAGCUUUCGCAUUUCCCCCCGCUUCCUUCCCCGACCCCUUGCUGGAGAUCCGUCAGCAGCUCCCAGCCCGGAACCUGAAGCCCCAACUCCCAAGCACCGCGUCCGAGCCCGCCCGCUCGUCUUCUGUGUUUGGCAAGUUGGUCUUCGGUCAUCCCUAACUGCUUCUCUCUGUGCCUUCCUCCCUCCUUGCCGGUCCCCCCCCCCCCCCGCCUUUCCUCAAGCUGUCCCCAUGUUCCCGGUGGGCCCCUUCCACAACCAUUCUCUGAGCGAACGCCUCACCCCCAUCCCGGCGGUCAGGAGACCUAUGACCUUGACAGUUGGCUCCCGCUCACCUUUGCGUUUCUCGUUCUGACCUCGGGAAAUGAUCACUAGGAUUGUAUCUGGGCGAGGGAAAGUGGGGAAGGCCUGUUUUUACCGCAGACAGAGGACCUUGAUUUUACCUUCGGUCUGGAGUUAGAUGAGCAGCUUAACGGUGUAGGGGAACUUGGAGGGGUGGGCUGGGAUGCGUGCAGACCGAGAAGGGGCCAGCAGUGCCUGCUGGGUGUCCCCCUCCCGAAUGGCCUCUGCUGCUCCACCUACAGAUCUGGUCAACCCACUACUGCAAGAACCCCCAAGCCCCACGGGCUCUCCCCAGAGCACCUCCAGAGAUUUAAACCGGGCCCAAAGGCGUGGCUACCCUGCCCUGGGUGAGGAUCAAAGGGACAGCAGACACAGAAGCAGCCGCAGGUCCCCAGCUCCCAUCCCCUAGCUGGGACCAGCGUGUUCCAGCGGCACAGUUGUCCUCAAAGCCCAGGUUUUCUGCUGGGGAGGAGACAGGCCAGCCACCAUGUGGCCAGCUGGGCUGAGUGCCCUGAUUGUGCCUCCGCAGGUGAGGCAGGUAAAGAAAGGCUCCGAAUUUGGGGAUGACAGGAGUGUGUGUGUGUGUGUGUGGGGGGGGUGAUUUGCCAGAAAGGAGCUAGUGCCAAACAGCUUCUGGGUCUGAUCCAGAAUAAAAUCAAAGGCUUCCGGACACACACAUCCACGCACGUGCGCAGUGUGAUUGUAAAUAAGGAGCUUUGCGGGUCUUCCCGCCCCAGAGAUGCUGAGUGCCUGUGAAUUGUGUGCAUGCAUGGAGAGGCUUCCAAAAAUCUGGAGUCAGGUUUUGUAAAAAGCUGGGACUCAAGGCCGAGCCUCACAUCCCCGGCCUGGAGCGCCGCCUGUCCUGUUUUCCCAGCCAGUGCUGCAGGUCCCCCACAAGCCUACGCGCCUGGUUGCCACCUAGGAUUGUGGGUAAUGUAGUCCAUAGAGGCCAGGCUGCCACUGACGGUGCUUCCCGCCCUUUUCCCGCUUCCUCUCCGCCCCCUGCCGGCCAUCACCCGCUCCUGCCUGAGGCUGACGGAGUGAAGGGUGAGCCGUGUUUGUGGGCUGGGAGAUCCCCGACGGGAAACCAGCGAGCUAUUUAUAACGGAGCCUGGAGGAGGGGAAGGCCUGAGAGGAGGUGGGGCGUCCCUGGAGGCUGCCGCAGAAUUUUCAGGAACCCCAGGCCCCUGCUUGGGCAGGACUUAUGUUCUCUUUCGUGUGAGGGCACUGGGAGCACCCGAAAAUCCUGGGAAGCACAGAGGCUGUUCUUGGCUUGCGAGGACACAGUGGACCCUGGAACCUGGCCUUUGGGCCUUUCUGUGGUGGGGACAUUGAAACCUGGAUUUUGAUUAAUAGGCUUUUUUUGGGGAGGAAAAAAUUGAGUGAGACACCCCAUUAAGAUCAAUUGGCUGAUAUGAGGGUACUUUUAAAAAAAGAUUAUUUAUUUGAAAGGCACAACGUUAGAAAGAGGGCGAGACAGAGAGAGAGAGAGAUCUUCCGUCUUCUGGUUUACUCCCCAGCCGGCCCCGACGCCUGGGGCUGAGCCAAGAGCUAGGAACUCCAUCUGGGGCUCCUGUGUGGGUGCAGCAGCCGAAGUACUCGAGUGUCCCCGCUGUUUUCCCAGGUGCAGUAGCAGGGAGCCAGACUGGAAGCAGGUCUGCUGGGAUGCCGGCGGCGCCAGAGGCGGCCGCUGUACAAGAGUACUUCAACAAGAGUUUCUGGAGAAGUGCAACUACUAGAAAUCCCAACUUCAAGAAUAGCACCUAGGGAUGCAUGAUGAAGAAAAACGCCAGCUCCGCCUGACCAGGCAUGCUUGCCCUUUGCAAAGGACAACUGGAUUUCAGCAGGGCCAUCAUCUAGAUCAGCUGUUUCUACUUUCUACUUAAGGACUGUUACUUCUUGAGACCUUUGUGGAUCAACCUCUUAGAAAGCUCUCGUGGAUCCAGGAAGAGCAGAGCAGGUGGGUUAAAGCCCCAGUCUGCAGUGCUGGCAUCCCAUAUGGGCACCAGUUCGAGUCCCGGUUGCUCCACUCUAAUCCAGCUCCCUGCUAAUGUACCUGGGAAAGCAGCAAAGGAUAGCCCAAGUCCUUGGCCCCCUGCACCCAUGUGGGAGACCUGGAAGAAGCUCCUGGCUUCGGACUGGUUCAGCUCCAGCCGUUGCAGCCAUUUGGUGAGUGAACCAGAGGAUGGAUGACCUCUCUAUUUCAAAUAAAUAAAUCUUAAAACAAACAAAUAAAUAAACCUUACCAUGCUGGGGAGAGAAGAGAAAAAGAGCAGUUGUGAAGGUUCACAGCUGAAGAGAGGACAGACAACAGACUCCAAUGGAUUAGAAAGUUUGAGGCUGAGGAGAAUGUUGGGACAAAUUAACAAUGUGAAUCCAAAACAAGCAAGACAAUGAUGUGGAGGGUAAAGCAAUGACCUUAAGAUAAGCCUCUAUUUACUUUCCACUGCAGAUAGGUUAAGAAGAUAAACAUUCAUUAUGCAACUUUACUGUAAAACACAGCUGGACAACCUUAUACACACAUCCAUUCCAGAGAGGGCAAAGAAGUGAAUGCACACCUAAGAGCAUGAUCUUGUCCUAAGAAUCCAUUUUUAAAAAUGGUUCGGGGCCGGCGCCGUGGCUCAAUAGGCUAAUCCUCCACCUUGCGGCGCCGGCACCCCGGGUUCUAGUCCCGGUCAGGGCGCCGGAUUCUGUCCCGGUUGCCCCUCUUCCAGGCCAGCUCUCUGCUAUGGCCAGGGAGUGCAGUGGAGGAUGGCCCAGGUGCUUGGGCCCUGCACCCCAUGGGAGACCAGGAAAAGCACCUGGAUCCUGGCUCCUGCCAUCGGAUCAGCGCGGUGCGCCAGCUGCAGCGGCGGGCCAUUGGAGGGUGAACCAACGGCAAAGGAAGACCUUUCUCUCUCUGUCUCUCUCUCUCACUGUCCACUCUGCCUGUCAAAAUAAAAAAAAAAUCUCUCUGUCACUCCCUUUCUCUAUAACUCUUCCUCUCAAAUAAAUAAAUAAAAUAUUAAAAAAAAAAAUGGUUCGGAAGUACAGCUUGCCAAAGAACAGUUUUGUUUGUUAGAUUUCUAUCAAGCUGCUAAAUCUAAAACACUACUUGAAAGCUAGUCUUGGAUUCUCAUUCCUUUUGAAUUUUGUGUGAAAAAUCACCUUUCAUGAGUCUCCUUGCACACCUUUCCCUACCAUCUGUGGGAAAACAUUUUAUUUGAAGACACCUGACUGGAGGAGAAAUACAUAUUAUGAAAUGGGUGGCUUCCACUUUAAAACUGUAAAGGCUACUUUAAAAACCCCUGCUUUAUAAGUUAGGUUUAAUACAAGCAGAUUAUAGUUUUUCCAGGAAAGUUUCCAAAUAAGAUAAACACUCAUUUACCCCUGAGGCAAGACAAUCAAAGUUGUCAGACCAGUUUGUGUAAACAAAAAAAUAAAAAUUAAAGAGUCUCAUGUUAAAGUAGAGCAAACCUCUUAGGGGAGAAUGAAAAAUAAAGCUGUUGCAUUAAGUAGUGCUCACUGCAUAGGCAACCUGUAACAUUCUUUAAUUUUACUAAGUUUCCCCUAUUUUACUGCUGCCACUAUAUCCCUUUUCCAAAAUCAAAAAGGCUUAGGGGCUAUUUCGCCUAGCAGUUAAGAUGCUCACAUCCCAUACUGGAACACCUGGGUUUAGUUCCCAGCUACAGCUUCCUGCUAUUGCAGACCCUGGGAGGCAGUAGUCUGCAACUGAGUUCUUCCAAUUUUAGUUUAUGUGCUGCCCAAGAGAUUACUGCAACUGAGUUCUUGCCACCCAUGUGGGAGACUAGGAUUGAGUUUCCUGCUCCUGACUUUGGUCCCAGCUAUUAUGGACACUUGAGGAACAAACCAGCAGAUGGGAGGGAGUUCUCUCUCUCUGUCUCUCUCUCUCUACACACACAUACACACACACACACUCUCUCUCUCUUUCUCUCAGAUCCAAUUUUAGGGGGCACACUUCCUUAUCAAAGAUGUUUGCAACAGUGUUUCCACCCAGGGGAUUCAUUUCAGAAAAUGAAAUAACUAAGAAACAGGAGGAGGAAGUAGUUGUAAAUAGACUAAAUAGAAUAAACAGAACUAGACCAAACAAACAAACAAAUCCCCAAAACAAAAACCCUGGAAUUUAAAAUAGUUGUCAGCUUUCCCUUUCCUCUCCUCCAAAGGCACCAUCUGGGGCAGACUUUGAGGGUAGGGACAGCGCUGAUCAAACACUAAAACCUGCCGGCACCUUGAUCUUGACUUUCUGAGCUGCCAGA